GCCUGGGUGGCUCAGUCGGUUAAGCGUCUGACUUCAGCUCAGGUCACAAUCUCACGAUCCGUGGGUUCGAGCCCCGCAUCGGGCU
rnacentral:tRNA from 1 species